CCAAGACUCCCUUAAGUAAUCUUUUCUUCCACAUCCUCAUUCUUCAUCUUCUUCUGACCGAAAACCAGACCCAAAAUUGAGGAAAACAGAGUGUUUGAGUGAGGAAGAAGAGUCGAACAUAGUGCAAAGUGCGAUCCUGAACUGGGGUGCGUUCUGGUGCAUGAGUUGGGAGUGUUCCCCUUCUGUUUCGGUUUAGUAAUUCGCCUUCUCUUCCAACUCAUUUCCUUUCAAUCUUUAGCCUAUGAGGAUCUAUCUUGCAGCUCCUCAAAUCCAGAACUGCAGCAGACUUGAAAACCCGAAGCCAUUUCUGUUGUUGCACUUGUCAUCGCGAUCUAUGCAUGCGAGUUUGCUGUUUCUGCUAAUUUUUCGGUUUCUAUUUCAUAUUUCCUUGAAAGUAUGGGUAAUUAGCCGUUAGAGUAAGUUAUUAGGAGUGUUAGAAAUCCAAUUCUCAAAAGUUAAAUCACUCUUAAAUCCAAUCUAACUCAGUGUCGCUUCACGGGUUCUGUAAUUAUUUUUAGUGUUGCAGAACCGUUUCCCAGCGCAGAGCUCUCGUUUUCUUCCUAUGUUAAAGCCCAAUUCCCAGUUAAGAUGAAUAUAAAUUUUGUUUAUGCUGAUAGUAAGUUUUUUUACAUGCGUUUCAUGGGUUAAUUGCUUGGAAACAUUCGUUGAUGCUGCAGGUGACAGAAAACGGUGUACAUGUGUCAUGAAUGGUGUUUUAAACGUUAAAUGAAUGUUUUUUUUAUGUAUGAAUGCACGAUAAUGAUUAUGUGAUGUUUGUAAAUAAUUGAAAAAAGGACAAACAGCGAAGAAAUUGAGAAACAAAGGGCAAAUUACUUAUGUCACCGGUGCUAGGUACCAAGGUGCUGAUGCUGGUGGGUAUAUGUGGUUCUGCCGCAUGUGUGUGUACUUGGGAUGCUUUCUAGACAACCAAAAAUGCUUGGAGACGUCCCUGGUACACGAUCAAGGUGCAAUUAUGCCGCACGGUUGGGCAUGAAACACUGCCAGGAGCCUACGGGUGCCAAGAGUAUUUAUGCGAGGACGGUCAUGGCAUGUCAUGUGUGCUGGAGUGCGUAUGUGCACAGGGUGUGUGCGCGCGGGUGCCUCUGCACUCCAGUACCUGUCCCACGAGCUAGCUGCUCUUUUGCAGCAGGCAUUGCGUGCCGUGCUAACCUGUCAGGUAUCCACGGUUGCCGAAAUAUCUUUGCGGGUGCCCCGUACCGCGAGUGCAGGUAAGAGGGAAUUUCCCUUGGGUAAGGGUUACAUUAAAAAGG
rnacentral:lncRNA from 1 species